rnacentral:rRNA from 1 species
GACGAACGCUGGCGGCGUGCCUAAUACAUGCAAGUUGAGCGCUGAAGGUUGGUACUUGUACCCACUGGAUGAGCAGCGAACGGGUGAGUAACGCGUGGGGAAUCUGCCUUUGAGCGGGGGACAACAUUUGGAAACGAAUGCUAAUACCGCAUAAAAACUUUAAACACAAGAUUUAAGUUUGAAAGAUGCAAUUGCCUCACUCAAAGAUGAUCCCGCGUUGUAUUAGCUAGUUGGUGAGGUAAAGGCUCACCAAGGCGAUGAUACAUAGCCGACCUGAGAGGGUGAUCGACCACAUUGGGACUGAGACACGGCCCAAACUCCUACGGGAAGCAGCAGUAGGGAAUCUUCGGAAAUGGACGAAAGUCUUACCGAGCAACGCCGCGUGAGGGAAGAAGGUUUUCGGAUCGUAAAACUCUGUUGGUAGAGAAGAACGUUGGUGAGAGUGGAAAGCUCAUCAAGUGACGGUAACUACCCAGAAAGGGACGGCUAACUACGUG